rnacentral:rRNA from 1 species
UGGGGGAUAUUGCACAAUGGGCGAAAGCCUGAUGCAGCGACGCCGCGUGGGGGAUGAAGGCUUUCGGGUUGUAAACCUCUUUCGCUAUCGAACAAGGCCCGCUUAGGGUGGGUUGAGGGUAGGUGGAGAAGAAGCGCCGGCUAACUACGUGCCAGCAGCCGCGGUAAUACGUAGGGCGCGAGCGUUGUCCGGAAUUAUUGGGCGUAAAGGGCUUGUAGGCGGCUUGUUGCGCCUGCUGUGAAAACGUGGGGCUUAACUUCGUGCGUGCAGUGGGUACGGGCAGGCUUGAGUGUGGUAGGGGUGACUGGAAUUCCAGGUGUAGCGGUGGAAUGCGCAGAUAUCUGGAGGAACACCGAUGGCGAAGGCAGGUCACUGGGCCAUUACUGACGCUGAGGAGCGAAAGCAUGGGUAGCGAACAGG